rnacentral:lncRNA from 1 species
CUUUGGUGGCUCAUUGCUGGGCUCAUGAAACUGCCUGCCGGCCUCUGUGGUCAUGGUGGCACAGGCCUGUAAUCUCAGCACUCAGGAGGCUGAGACAGGAAGAUCACCUCAAGUUUGAGGCCUGCCUGGGCUACAAUAAUGAGUUCAAGGCCAGCCUGCACUACAUAGCAAGACCCUGUCUCAGGAGAAAAAGAAGACAACGAAAAGGGGAAGGAGGGAAGAGGGAAAAGGAAGACCACAUGCUAUGAGAAAGACCUGAAAUACUAUCAGAAACUGGGAGGCGAAAAAGUUGGUCUUGACUAAGGAAAUCAGAAAAGACUUCCUGGCGUUGGUGACAUUUGCAGGGUGAACAGAAUUUCUCCGAUCAGGAAGGACUGCUGGGCUUCUGGGUAUGAAGGACGAAAAAAAUCACAGAAGCAUUGAUAAUGCGUGCACACGUGCAGGGUAGGGUGGAGUUUAAUGAUAUAACAAUAAGAGGAGAAAUUUCCCCAUCAGAGCUGAAGGGUUCCUGCUGGUGGNNNNNNNNNNNNNNNNNNNNNNNNNNNNNNNUCAGAGCCUUUUUCUGAAGGCCUGACCCACCCAGGGCCAGGAGGGUCUGAGAGGAAGAAGGACAGUGGCAGACGCACGGCCUCAGUGCUGCUCCCACUCUGUCACGAUUUGACUGCCUUUUUAAUGAGCUCGCUUCAAGCUCAGGGAGCGGGCGGGUUCUAGGCAAAUGUGAACACCCUGCCGUGACUCAUGGCCCAGACCUGUGCCAAGACCCAGGAGGGUAGCCCGGCCGUCUCCACCCCGCCUGGCCUGGGCCCGCCCCUGGGCCCGCCUGGCCACCCCCGCUGAAAGCUCCUGAGGGCGCCAGCUCGGAAAUCAGAGACUAGGGCAGCUCCUCCACAGUACCUCUGCAAAGUCAACUGGGAAACCGCCCACGCUGCGACUACUUUGUGACGCGGCGCCAUCUAGUGGUAGCAGGCAGAAGCGCCACUCGGUGGCAUGGCUUCCGCUAAAACCAGCCAGGCCCGUGGACGUGCCGCCAACCAGGAAGAUUUGCUGCUAGAGUCAAGGUCCUACUUGACAGGUCCCCUAAGUUGGACCCCCACCCAAGCAGACCCAUCCAUGCUCAGGAGCACUGAGAUAACAAGAAGCCAGCAGCACCCUGCUCCUCCUGACACCACCCUGUUUAUCAGCCAGCCACAGGACCACCACCCAUGGGACUCUAAAAUUUUCCACACUCUUGACCAGUGCCCCCUCCCCUACCUAAACUGCCCCAUAUCAACCAUGCACACCCUCCCCUCAGUGCCAACGGCCUUCUCGCCCUUGGCCCAUCUCCAC